rnacentral:rRNA from 1 species
UGAAGUGGUUAGAAUAUGUAGUGUAGCGGUGAAAUGCAUAGAUAUGACUCAGAACACCAAUUGCGAAGGCAGCUUACUAACAUGUAACUGACGCUGAGGGACGAAAGCGUGGGGAGCGAACAGGAUUAGAUACCCUGGUAGUCCACGCCCUAAACGAUGUCAACUGGUUGUUGGGAGGGUUUCUUCUCAGUAACGAAGCUAACGCGUGAAGUUGACCGCCUGGGGAGUACG